GUCCCUUCGGGGCCGUCUGAUAAAAUUAGAACGAUGCAGAGAAGAAUAGCAUGACCUUUGCGCAAGGAUGGCACACAAAUCGAGAAAUUGUCCAAUACUUA
rfam:Capsicum annuum cultivar Zunla-1 chromosome 10, whole genome shotgun sequence